rnacentral:rRNA from 1 species
GAGCGGGGGCUUCGGUCCUAGCGGCGAACGGGUGAGGAAUGCCUGGGAAUCUGCCUGGUAGUGGGGGAUAACGAUUCGAAAGGGUCGCUAAUACCGCAUACGUCCUACGGGAGAAAGCAGGGGACCUUCGGGCCUUGCGCUAUCAGAUGAGCCCAGGUCGGAUUAGCUAGUAGGUGAGGUAAAGGCUCACCUAGGCGACGAUCCGUAGCUGGUCUGAGAGGAUGAUCAGCCACACUGGAACUGAGACACGGUCCGGACUCCUACAGGAGGCAGCAGUGGGGAAUAUUGCGCAAUGGGCGAAAGCCUGACGCAGCCAUACCGCGUGUGUGAAGAAGGCCUUCGGGUUGUAAAGCACUUUCAGUGGGGAGGAAAAGCGGGUGGCUAAUAUCCAUCGGCCGUGACGCUACCCACAGAAGAAGCACCGGCUAAUUCCGUGCCAGCAGCCGCGGUAAUACGGAAGGUGCGAGCGUUAAUCGGAAUUACUGGGCGUAAAGCGCACGUAGGUGGCUUGGUAAGUCGGAUGUGAAAGCCCCGGGCUCAACCUGGGAACGGCAUUCGAUACUGCUGAGCUAGAGUACGAAAGAGGGGGGUGGAAUUCCAGGUGUAGCGGUGAAAUGCGUAGGGAUCUGGAGGAACACCGGUGGCGAAGGCGGCCCCCUGGUUCGAUACUGACGCUGAGAUGCGAAAGCGUGGGGAGCGAACGGGAUUAGAUACCCCGGUAGUCCACGCGGUAAACGAUGAAUACUGGGUGUAGGCGGGGUUAGAGCCGUCUGUGCCGAAGCAAACGCGUUAAGUAUUCCGCCUGGGGAGUACGGUCGCAAGGCUAAAACUCAAAGGAAUUGACGGGGGCCCGCACAAGCAGCGGAGCGUGUGGUUUAAUUCGAUGCGACACGAAGAACCUUACCUGGGUUUGACAUCCUUUGACAAUCCUAGAGAUAGGACUUUCCCUUCGGGGACAAAGUGACAGGUGGUGCAUGGUUGUCGUCAGCUCGGGUCGUGAGAUGUUGGGUUAAGUCCCGCAACGAGCGCAACCCCUAUCGUGUGUUGCUACCGGCUAGGCCGAGCACUCGCACGAGACUGCCGACGUUAAGUCGGAGGAAGGUGGGGAUGACGUCAAGUCCUCAUGGCCCUUAUGCCCAGGGCUACACACGUGCUACAAUGGCCGGUACAAAGAGUCGCGAGCUCGCAAGAGCAAGCCAAUCCCAAAAAACCGGUCUCAGUUCGGAU